rnacentral:rRNA from 1 species
CGGGCGGGUGAGUAACGCGUGGGUAACCUACCUUAUACAGGGGGAUAACAGUCAGAAAUGGCUGCUAAUACCGCAUAAGCGCACAGAGCUGCAUGGCUCAGUGUGAAAAACUCCGGUGGUAUAAGAUGGACCCGCGUUGGAUUAGCUGGUUGGUGGGGUAACGGCCCACCAAGGCGACGAUCCAUAGCCGACCUGAGAGGGUGACCGGCCACAUUGGGACUGAGACACGGCCCAA